rnacentral:rRNA from 1 species
UACGGGGGGGGCAAGCGUUGUUCGGAAUUACUGGGCGUAAAGGGCUCGUAGGCGGCCAACUAAGUCAGACGUGAAAUCCCUCGGCUUAACCGGGGAACUGCGUCUGAUACUGGAUGGCUUGAGUUUGGGAGAGGGAUGCGGAAUUCCAGGUGUAGCGGUGAAAUGCGUAGAUAUCGGGAGGAACGCCGAUGGCGAAGGCAGGUCUCUGGGAUGACACUGACGCUCAUGCACGAAAGCGUGGGGAGCAAACAGG